rnacentral:rRNA from 1 species
CAAUAGCGUAUAUUAAUGUUGUUGCAGUUAAAAAGCUCGUAGUUGGAUUUCGGGAUGACAUCACUUGCCGGGCAAUGUCUGAGUGAGUUGAGUCAUUCUUCCUUCUGGAGGCUUAUUCUGUACUUAACUGUGCGGGGUAGGAAUUCAGGACUUUUACUUUGAAAAAAUCAGAGUGUUCAAAGCAGGCGUUUGCUUGAAUACAUUAGCAUGGAAUAAUGGAAUAGGACUUUGGUCUUAUUUUGUUGGUUUCUAGGACCGAAGUAAUGAUUAAUAGGGAUAGUUGGGGGCAUUCAUAUUUAAUUGUCAGAGGUGAAAUUCUUGGAUUUAUGAAAGAUGAACUUCUGCGAAAGCAUUUGCCAAGGAUGUUUUCAUUAA